GAUGGGCAAACAAGCAGUGGAAAGACAUAUACCAUGAUUGGAAUAACAUAGUACACAGUCGCAGGCAUUUAUGACUAUAUACAUAGGCAUGAAGAUAGAGCAUUUGUUUUGAAGUUUUUUGCUAUGGAAAUCUACAACGAAGUUGUAAGAGAUCUCCUUAGCGCGGAUAGUCUUCCACUCAGGGUCGUAGAUGAUCCAGAGGCAUCACAUAAAAAUGGGUCCCCUUCUUGGUGUUUCAACUAUGAAACAGCUGGACUUUCUCUUGAUGACAAUUCCAUGGUGCUAUAAAAUCUCAACAGAAACUUACCUCAUCUCCAUCUCCUUGGUAGACCAAGUACGAAUCAAGAUUCUUUAUGAAGAAAUUUUAUAUUGGUUCACCUAGAUAGAAUAACAAUGUGUACCAUAAAUCAUAUUGAUUAAAAGAAUCCCAAAUUGAAAAGGGAUAUUACAUAUCAGUGGUCUUUUUGAAAAGUACUUACAUAUUUAUUUAGAAGUUGAUAGUUUAAUGUUUUAAUAUGUAUAAAGUUUUUCAUUAAUAUGUAAAUAUUUUUUCAAAAGUCGGUUUGAUUUGAUAUUUUUUCAAUUAAUACCCCCUUUCCCUUGCACUUUGAUUGCGUAGUAUAAAAAUCAUCUCAGCACUUACUUUAUAGUUAAUUCUACAAAAGUUUAGAAGAUUUAGAAAGUGACAACAUUUAAAAUCCUUCUUAU